rnacentral:rRNA from 1 species
AGCGAACGCUGGCGGCAGGCCUAACACAUGCAAGUCGAACGAACCGUUCGGGCUUAGUGGCGGACGGCGGAGGAACACGUGGGAACUUGCCUGUGGGUUCGGAAUAACUCAGGUUAACUUGUGCUCAUGCAAAAUGUGCCAUUCUGGGGAACGAUUAAUCGCUUUUAGAGCGGCCGGGGUCUGAUUCGUUAGUUGGGUGAGGUAAUGGCUCACCAUGGCGACGUUCAGUAGCUGGUGUGGGAGGAUGCUCAGCCACAUUGGGACUGAGACACGGACCCCUACGCGACGGAAGGCUGGAGUGGAUAGUACUGCGGAAUGAGCCCAAGUCUGGCGCCGCCACGCGGCGGGAGUGAUCCUUGUCUUAGGAUUGCAAAUUUCUUUCUCACGGGACGUUAAUGACGGUACCCGGAAAAGAAGCCCCGGCUAACUUCGUG